AUUGAACGCUGGCGGCAGGCCUAACACAUGCAAGUCGAACGAGUGGCGGACGGAUGGGUAAUGUCUGGGAAACUGACUGAUGGAGGGGGAUACCUAAUGGAAACGGUAGCUAAUACCGCAUACCAUCAGAUGUGCCCAGAUGGGAUUGGCUAGUUGGUGGGGUAACGGCUCACCAAGGCGACGAUCCCUAGCUGGUCUGAGAGGAUGACCAGCCACACUGGAACUGAGCCACGGUCCAGACUCCUACGGGAGGCAGCAGUGGGGAAUAUUGGACAAUGGGGGAAAGCCUGAUGCAGCCAUGCCGCGUGUAUGAAGAAGGCCUUCGGGUUGUAAAGUACUUUCAGCGGGGAGGCGUUACCCGCAGAAUAAGCACCGGCUAACUCCGUGCCAGCAGCCGCGGUAAUUC
rnacentral:rRNA from 1 species